CACUUGAUGAGUGAUUCUUUGCUAACAGCC
rnacentral:piRNA from 1 species